rnacentral:rRNA from 1 species
AUACAGAGGGUGCAAACGUUGUUCGGAAUCACUGGGCUUAAAGCGCGCGUAGGCGGCGACAUCAGUGUCUUGUGAAAGCCCCCGGCUCAACCGGGGAACUGCAGGGCAUACUGUGUUGCUAGAGUACGAGAGGGGAGCGGAGAACUCCUGGUGGAGCGGUGGAAUGCGUAGAUAUCAGGAGGAAUGCCGAAGGUGAAGACACCUCUCUAACUCGUAACUGACGCUAAGGCGCGAAAGCUAGGGUAGCGAACGGGAUUAGAUACCCGAGUAGUCC